rnacentral:rRNA from 1 species
UGGGGAAUUUUGGACAAUGGGCGCAAGCCUGAUCCAGCCAUGCCGCGUGCGGGAAGAAGGCCUUCGGGUUGUAAACCGCUUUUGUCAGGGAAGAAAUCUUCUGAGUUAACACCUCGGGAGGAUGACGGUACCUGAAGAAUAAGCACCGGCUAACUACGUGCCAGCAGCCGCGGUAAUACGUAGGGUGCAAGCGUUAAUCGGAAUUACUGGGCGUAAAGCGUGCGCAGGCGGUUUUGUAAGACAGAGGUGAAAUCCCCGGGCUCAACCUGGGAACUGCCUUUGUGACUGCAAGGCUUGAGUGCGGCAGAGGGGGAUGGAAUUCCGCGUGUAGCAGUGAAAUGCGUAGAUAUGCGGAGGAACACCGAUGGCGAAGGCAAUCCCCUGGGCCUGCACUGACGCUCAUGCACGAAAGCGUGGGGAGCAAACAGGAUUAGAUACCCUGGUAGUCCACGCCCUAAACGAUGUCAACUGGUUGUUGGGAAGGUUCCUUCUCAGUAACGUAGCUAACGCGUGAAGUUGACCGCCUGGGGAGUACGGCCGCAAGGUUGAAACUCAAAUGAAUUGACGGGGU